AUUGAACGCUGGCGGCAUGCCUUACACAUGCAAGUCGAACGGCAGCACGGGAGCAAUCCUGGUGGCGAGUGGCGAACGGGUGAGUAAUAUAUCGGAACGUGCCCAGUCGUGGGGAUAACGUAGCGAAAGCUACGCUAAUACCGCAUACGAUCUAUGGAUGAAAGCGGGGGAUCGCAAGACCUCGCGCGAUUGGAGCGGCCGAUAUCAGAUUAGGUAGUUGGUGAGGUAAAGGCUCACCAAGCCGACGAUCUGUAGCUGGUCUGAGAGGACGACCAGCCACACUGGGACUGAGACACGGCCCAGACUCCUACGGAGGCAGCAGUGGGGAAUUUUUGGACAAUGGGCGCAAGCCUGAUCCAGCAAUGCCGCGUGGCAGGAUGAAGGCC
rnacentral:rRNA from 1 species